GAUGAAGAACGUAGCGAAAUGCGAUAAGUAAUGUGAAUUGCAGAAUUCAGUGAAUCAUCGAAUCUUUGAACGCACAUUGCGCCCGCUAGUAUUCUGGCGGGCAUGCCUGUCCGAGCGUCAUUUCAACCCUCAAGCCCCCGGGCUUGGUGUUGGGGAUCGGCGAGCCUCCGCGCCCGCCGUCCCCUAAAUCUAGUGGCGGUCUCGCUGUAGCUUCCUCUGCGUAGUAGCACACCUCGCACUGGGAAACAGCGCGGCCACGCCGUUAAACCCCCAACUUCUGAACGUUUGACCUCGGAUCAGGUAGGAAUACCCGCUGAACUUAAGCAUAUCAAUAAGCGGCGGA
rnacentral:misc_RNA from 1 species